UAGGUCGUGUGCGCGCGAUUCUGGAAGUGGUUCUGUUUUGAGGGUUAUAUGUGUUUAUGCACGGGGAAUCAGAUUUAUAUAUAUUCAGGUAAGUUUUAGAGGAUCUCGAAAUGAAGAAUUUGAUAUAAAGAACACUCAUUUUGGUUAAGUAUUGAGAAAGUUAUAGUCCUUUGAAGUUUAUGUUAGAAAUCUGGAAAUUUUAGAGAAUUGUUGAAAUAGGAUUUUAUUUCUUAAGCUUUGUUUUCGUGAGCGUCAUCUUUGGUGCGACAUGUUAUGUAUAUCUUUAGGAAACCAGAAUGUUUAGAGUUUUAAUACUCGGUUGGGUUGUUGGCAGGCCGAGAAGAAUUAAACCGAGCUUAUAGACCAAGGAUCUAGCCCAAGACUGUAGAGAUCGACUUCCCGGUGCCUGAUAGACUGCCAUAGUCUGUGGAAGCUUCAUUAUCGAUUGCCAGUACGUGUUUUGAGUUGGGCAUAGAGUCUGGUGUGUUGUGGUGUAUAUACACCUUGUAUGUUAUAGAUACUCCACAGUUUGUAUAAGUUUUAGGAGCUGUAGUUGUGUAAAUUUUGUUGGUUAUAUUUUGAUUAAGGUGUCUUUAGGUUUACUCGUGAAAUCGGUAAAUUUUGAGGUACACUUCAUGUAUGUGUUUGACUAGCUGUGUUUGACUAGCCUAAGAUCCGCUGUGUUUUGUGGCAUGUACAAUAGUUUAUAUACUAGAUUGGCAAGUUCAUCACAUGAAAGUUUUAAGCAGAGUCGACAGAUACAGGUACAGUAAAGUGUUGUUCGUCGGCUUCACGCCAUCUUUCGGUCUAAGGUAGCAGGUAGUCCGGGAGGGGUGUGACACGGUUUUGGUUGUUUGAAAGGCCAAGAAGAAAUAGGUCGGAUUACACGUCGGGAAACUAAUCUUAGACUGUGAGUGACCAAAACCAGUUUUGAAAAUAUUUUUUUCUCCUAA